GGGCCGGGACGCGGGAGCAGCCGAGCGGGAGGCCGGAGCCCACCUUGGUUUGGUGGGGGGACGGGUCUGCGGCUUGCCCCGCAGGGCGGGGAACGCGCGGCCUCGAGGCCCGGCGGCACGUGGGGCGCUGACAGCGGCGCCGGGCGCGGGCAGCCCUGGGUGGGGCGGCCCGGGCGCAGCGGAGGGCCUGGAGGAGCGGUAGCCGCGUGUCGGCGACACGGGAGGGAUCUAGAGCCCGUCCCUUCCCCGGGGACCGCAGCUACCCACUAGAACUGAGAACCAUAUGGGACGGAGAGGGGACCGCGGCCAUCAGUGCCACGAGGCCCAGACGUGGGACAGAUGGAACCAGGAGAACGCAGGAUACUGUGCUGGGCACUUGAAGUGACACCACAAGAUGAAUUAAUCGUAGUCCUGGAGUCUAGAAAGGGGUCAGACCCCCAAUUUACUCUAAUGGAAGACAUAACAUGCUUGAGAGGGUUUCAAAGCUGAGCAGAGGAGUUGUUCAUAGGUGCCCUUUGUAACUCAUUUCAAUCUUAUCCUAAUCAUAAACCUAGAGAUACA